GUCCUGUAUCUCCACCGCCAAAGUUCUCUGGAAGAAAUUACAACUUUAUGAUUCAUGAACACAGAGAGGACAAUCCUUUCAUCUAUCUGUCUUAUAAAUGGGAUGGCUCUCUGGGAACAGCUAAACUUGAAGGAAAUUAUGGGAGCAACUAUUCUUCAACCACAUACUUGAAGCCACUCUUCAGUUUUUCCACACCAGAGGUCCCAAAGUCAAGCUACAUUCAAAAAGAUAAGCAACAAAUUGGAUACCCAAGUUCUGAAGAGCCAGAAAUCCUUUAUAGGUAGGACAUAUGCAGAUGAAACCCAACUAUUAAAAAAUCUCCUGCAGAAAAAAAUGUUUAUAUAUAUUUAUACACAUAUGCAUAUGAUUAUUAAAAAUCAUACUCAGAAUACUUUA